GCGGGGGGCUCUGUGGCAGUGGCCGCGCCGGCCGGGUGGCCGAUGGGUGGGGGCCGUGGGGGCCGCCUGUCCUCUCCCGCGCCGCCUUGUUUAUCUCGCGGGCGCCUGCGCUCCCGACCGAGGACCCUCCCAACUUUGAGCGGGGGUUGGCAGUCGCCUCUCCAAAGGACCCUGCACGGGGAGCCCAGCCCUUCCAUGCCCCUCCCCCGACCCUUUCCGGCCGGGCGCCCCGCUCGCACCUGUCCACUCUGCGACACACCCUCCUCCUGGCGGGUCGCCCCGCACUCUCUCUCAAGCCCGCUUUGGCCACUACUCUCUCUGGCCGUGUGCCUUCAGCCUGGCUCCCCUCACCCCAUGUGCUAGGCCAGGCGGCCUUGCCAGGCGGUGGCACUUUGGGCAUCGGGGGUUCCCGGGUGGGGGCCUGGACGGGAAGUUUGGCAUGUGCAAACAAUUUCAGAGGCAGCGUUUCCUUCACUGCCUCGGAGUUUAGAUCUGUGCCUUCCAUUGCGGCUGGUGGAGAGAUCUAAAGGAGCCCACCUGCCAGGUGGUGGGCACUGCCACGCCUUCUGUUUGUCGGCAGCCCGGCCAACUGGUUCUGGGGCUCUGGAGAUUCCCCAGGCUCUAGCACUCCUGCAGUGCAGCUGGGCAGGCGCUGGGUAUCUGCAGGCCCUCACUGCUUUCUUCACACCCGCUGUGCAGGAAGAUGUGACUGGGACAGUUUGCUUCAACAGGUAUUGGAGGUCUUGGGACACUUUACCAGGUGUUGUGUAAACAGAGCCUGAGGAGCCUUGAGACAGAGCGGUUAUGUUGGACUCCACCGGUCCUUCUGGGAGCUGCUGUGUUCUCAGCAGGACCCCCGGCUUCCUGGGAGAUGUCAAGAGGUACCCAAGAAAUCUAAUGCCCCAGGAAGCCUAUUCUGCUAGGUAGAAAUGCCUUUAAGAGCUCAACUUCAGAUGCAUGAGCCAUGGCUUCCCGAGUUGGUGAAGGCCAGGAGCCACAGCAGAGAGAGGAAAAGUCCGAGUUGGGGCAGGCGGUCUAGUUUUGGAGGAAGGUGUGCCUGUGGAGGAUGACUCCGUGGCAAGACCCAGAGUCCACAGGAGUAGUAGGUAGAAAGGGCCAAGAAAGGAGGAUCAGAGGAGCAGUUAUGGAGGAGGGAGGAUACAGAAGAUAAAUGAAGCUGGCAUGAAGCACAGCAGUGAUGCCAUACUUGCCUGGCAUGUGCAAAGCCUGGGUUUGAUCCUUGGCCUUGGGACUUGUCAUCUUGUGCAAAGCACGGGAAGAUGGGCAGAUGGGAAGACCUCCAGAUAGGACACAUGAACUGUGUGGUGGGCAGGUGCAGACAAAGGUGCUGUUGCAGGUCAGAGGAGGGCGUUCUCGGAGACCCUCGAGAAGGCGACAGAGUGACCAUGAGCAUGGCCUUGGCAUCUUGCGUGUUUCCUGAAGAUGGAGAGAACAGUGGUUGAGAUUGUGCAAGUCCUAGAAAAUCAGACUGGGGAAUUGCUGUUCUGUCUGUGUGUCCUGGCAGACAUUAAAAGUUUUAGGGUCAGGGAGGACUGCAAGGAAGGGGUGUUUGGAAAGGAUUUUGAAAGUAAUGUUAGGAGACAGGUCAGCUAGUAAGCUGCUGCAUUCCAGGAGUGCCCAGGGUUUGCAUUGGAUUUAACUGGAAAUGAAAAAAGGGUGAGUGUUAGAGAUAUUACCGUUGACAUACUCUGUUGACAGGGCCAGGGUGAAGGGAAAAGAUGAAUGGAAAUUAAUUCUUUGUGGAAAUGGAUUAUAUGCCAGGGUCUUAGAGCCACUGUAGCUGGCAACUCGAGAAAUCGGAAAUGUGUGUUUUGCAGAGAAGUAAUUGAUACUCAGGCUGUGUGGAAGUUUCUGUGUUUGCCAGAAUAUCCAAUUGUAAGUGCGCUGCCAGCAACUGCUGCACCGGGCUUCUUGGGAACCCCAGGGAUAGAGUGUUAGAGAGAGCAGGCCUUCAGUGGUCAGAGAGGUAGCUGAGGAUGUCCGGCCUGGGAGGUCUGUUUGUUGGGGUUGGGAUCCUGCAGUUCAGGCUGGCCUGGAACUCACUGUGUAGCCCAGGCUGGCCUUGAACUCAUGGCAAUCCUCCUGCCUCUGCCUUCCAAGUGCUGGGAUUACAGGCAUGUACCACCUGUCAUUUUCACCUCUUUGUGUUGCUGCCAUUUACAUGACACUGCCUGGUCUUGACCUUGAAGUUGGAGAAACAAGUCUGAAGAUUCGGGGCUUCUGGGAAACUGGGGCCAUUUAUUCUUCUAGGCAUGAGGGUGCAUGCAGUUGGAGGUUGGAGAGAAGCAGCAUAGGAUUUGCUAAAGGUGUAUAAUGUUGGACUUGGAAGUGUGUUGAACUUUAGACUCCACCAGGAUCUUCAGGCUGGUCCCAUGUUUCAUUCCUGCAGGGGAGAGGGGGUGGGUGGAGAUUUGUCAGUGGAGGUAUUGACUUCUCUAGGGCUUGGCUCUUCCUAGCCCAUGCCAUUGCCCAUUCCCAGGAGUCUGAGGACCUGCACACAGAAGGGAUCGGGUGCUUUUUUUGCUGAGUACUGAAUUGUGCUUUCUUGUUGCACGGCUGACUUAGGGUGAUUUGCUGAACAAAUUCCCCAAGCCUCAACUUGCAACAUCUGAAUUUGGAGGAUGAUUGCAGAAGGCUGCAGAAUGAGCCGAGAAUGUAAUUAGUGACUUAGCCUCCUUGUUUCUCUGAGCUGCAGGGUCGGUGCACUGGUAGGGGAACAGGACUUAGGGGAGGAGACCUGCAGGGGUGUGGAUCAGAUUUUUUUUUUUCUUUAUGGCAAAUAUCUGACUGUGUGAAAAAUAAUUGCAUGUGAGUGAGCAGUGGUUGAGCUCACUCAUUCUAGAGCAAUGUUUUCUGUACCAUUCUGGCUCUGACCUACAUUAAGAAACAAAAUUUACAUUAUGACCCUGUACAUACAGCAUGUAUGUUACAAUCUAAUUUCAGUUCAUGUAGGACUACCUCCCUUUGGGUGGUCCCAUCUCCUUGAACAUUUUUUGGGGGCGUCUGUUUUAUUGUUUUUCAUUAGAAGAGCAAUUGUUAGCUGGGCAUGGUAAUACAGGCUUGGGAGGGAGGUUGAGACAGGAGGAUUGAAAGUUCAAGGCCAUCCUGAGCAACUUAGGGAGACCCUGUCCAAAAAUCAAAACAGCUGUUGUUCCUAAGUUCAUGGAGUUAUUCUCUCAUGAAGUAGUGGGUCACAAUGCAUGAACAGUUUGAAAAGCGCAGAGAGAGUUUUCACAUUCAGUAAACAUUUAUUAAGUCAUGUAUGUGCGAACAUACCCUUCCCAGUACUGAAGGUAGAAAGGUACAAAUGAGAGAUAGAAACUGUUCAAUCUUUUUGGAGGUUUAAGGCGCGGCUUGGAUUAAGGAGCAGGGCGAGAUGAUUAAAUGCCAAAAAUGAAAAACAAAUGCCUGCAGUGUAUGAAAACGGGGUGGUAGCCAGGGAUUUAGUUCAGUAGCAUAAGUGCCUGCCUGGCAAGUGCAAGGUUGUGAGUUCAAUCCAUGGUACCAAAAAAAAAAAAAAAAAGGAAAAAGAGAUCAUGAUAUGUGCAGUGUAGAUAGAAAAAACUCUUGGGAUGAAGGAAGUCUGGGGUGAACAGUUUGGGUGUCUCAGAUGUCUCAUAGGAGAAACUCAUGUGUGCAAGUUAGGAGUUAGGAGCGAACAUAGCAUGUGUGUGUGGGUGUGAAGAACAUGGGACUCUUGUGAUAGCAGGGGGAAAUUAGAUUGGAGAGGUAGGAAGUAUAGGUCUUUAUUAAGGAGGGAUUUGUAGAAAUUUCCAGGCCUUUAUGCUGUUACAGUUUGGAUAGCAUAGAGGUUUUUAAAAAUUAGGAAUAAUCCAGAAACUUGUGGGCUUUUUAAAAAGACUCAGAUCUGACCGUUAUUUCCAGCAGAGAGGUGGUCAUUGCCUAUGGAAAGGGUCAGGCCUGCUGCUCCCAAGCAUGAUUCCAGCGUCCUCUCUUGCCUGCCUGGGUCCAGUUGCUUGGCAUUCCUCGCUGUGUCCCAUCGGCAUUUGGCUUUGUGACCUCAGUUUUCAAGUCUUGGAUGCCAUGCUGGAGAAUGUGUGCUGCUGUCGCAGGCCAUGGGUGCCCCCCUCCCCACCCCAAGGAUUCUGGCAGGAGCCAGAGACUGUGGAAUCCGAGGAUUCCAGCGCCAUGCUUUGCUUUAGGCCAGUGAGCAGCUCUUGCUGGGGAGCUGCUGGCUGGGCCUUGGAAAUAUUUUCAUGAUGAACAGCAUGGUAUUUACUAGAGAGGGCUUUGCCUUGUCAUCUAGAAAGCGAUGCAGACUUCUAGUGAUCUGAAGUUCUCUCCUGCCUCUACUUCUGGCUGGUGUGAUUAGAUCUUGGCUCCUGGCAUGUCACUCUGAAAGGGAUGUUGGGGUUAUGAGUUGGUGAGUUGUGAGUCACAGCUGUCAGUUGCCUUGCGACAUUAGAUUCUUUGGUUCUGUGGGCCCAUAAAAGAAGACCAAGGAGAAGGGGGAGCCCCAGCGGGGAAGGGUGCAUAGUCUGGAGAGGUUCAUAGUGGCUGCAGAGUAGCUGGCUCAAGCCCAGAUAUUAAUGCAUAUGGCUACAGAAGAGUAGGUGUGUUUGGGGCAGCUGGUGUGGGAAGUCUUUAUGGCUGAGGACACUCUGGCUUUUCCUGGAGUCCUAACUACCCACCAUUCAGAGCUUCUCCCAGGUGAGCUGCAGGUGACAGGGGCUGACCAAUCAUUUCCCUGCUUUUUACAGGUAGGACAAAAUUUACCUAAAAGUAUUGUUGUUGUUUUUUUUUUUAAUAACACACAGAUACAAGUUAGGAAUUUUCUUAAAAGCAUAUGGCCAUAGGAUGCAAGGGUACCUAGAAGUCAGCUGAAUUAUAUCAACUUGAAUCUAUUUCCUGUUUUAUGUGAUGUUUUGCUUACUAAACCAGAAGGGAAUGAUGCAGCAGCUCUGGUAUGUUUAGUUUUAGUAAAGUAGUUCACAGUUUCUUAAGAUACACUUGUCCGUAUUAAAUCAUAAGUAGUAAACUAGGGGCUGGGUGGUGGCCUUGGUUUAAUUUAGGGAUCCUAUGCAAGCACUGUUAGUUACUGGCGCAGAGUCAGCCUGGGAGCAGGUCAGAAAGUGAGCACCACAGGGCUCUGAUUUUGGCUUGGGUUGGGUUGAGUAUAAGGAAGAUGUGUUUGUCUGAUUUGGAGGCACAGAGCAGGGAAGGACUGCUUAGUUAGAUAAAUCAGAUUCAUCUAGAAUGAGGACCUCAAAUUAAAAAGAAAAAGAGCUGGGUGUGGCGGUGCAUGUCUGUAAUUCCAGCUAAUUGGGAGACUGAGGCAGGAGGAUUGCAAGUUCUGGCCCUGCUUGGGUAACUGUGAGCAUCUUUCUCUAUAAAUAAACAAAUGGGGCUAACUAGGGUUGUAGCUCACAGCCCCUUCCCUCAUUUCUGUAAAGAAUAAAUAUAAAGCGUGGUUUAGUUUUACAGAUUUGAGACGAUAUCUCAAGAUGGCCAAAUAGUGUAAGUAGAUAAUUAUUCUUCUAGGGAUGUAGCUGAAACAAAACAUGAAAUAUAGAUGAUAUUUUUAUGCACCCAUCAUUCAGAUUUUUUAAAAACUCUAGUAAAAAAUUGGUAGCAACCUAUAUUUCCACUGGUGUGGGCUGGAGACAGUGGAUAGGUGAAUUCCAGUGGAUGUAUCUUUAAAAUGGAGGUUUAUGAAGUUAUGCAAAAUAAUAUUUAGGAGCAAUUUAAAAGAUAACCAGGGAGGAUGUUUCUGGUAAAAGUUACAGUGUGCCUACUAUCUAAUUCCAAAGGUUUAAAACACAUGCCUAGAAAAUAACUGGAAAGAAGUGUCCUAAUAAUACCAAACCUCCGAUGUUUCUAGAUGGGUUGAGCUAAGUGACUUUCUGUUUUUCAUGCUUUUAAAUUUAUUAUUUGCCAGUGGGGGAAAAUACACUACUUUAAACACAUCUUAUUGUUUGAGGACAGGAUGGGAGUAGUUGAUUCAUGUGGAGAUUAUUGUUGAGUACCUACCUGCCCCGUGUCAAGUGCUGGCAUAGAUACCAUGCUCACAAAAUAACACCCAGCACCUGACUCUGGCACAGGCCACUGUGGAACGCCAGGCUGUCUGGUGGAAAGUCUUGUGUUUUUUUCCCCUGUCAUUUAUGAGUUCAGCGUGGAGUCCUCAGUGGGCUGAGCCUUUCCAAAUAUCAAAGCCAGUGGAGAAUCCCAGAAUCCAGUCUUAAUGACCUUGGUCAUAUGACCUUUGGACUCCUGGGGUGAUUUCAAAGACACCUGAGCAUCAGGACUUGAUCCACAAAGGGAGAAUAGGGUGAUGGAGACUCAGGAGUGACCGGUGUGGGCUUGUGGAGGGGGUCUGCAGUAGUGCCUAUAAAAGGCUUUCAUGGUUGUCAGGUGUGGGAAGGACCACAUGUGUUCAUUUUUUUGUUUUUGGUACCAGGAAUUGAACUCAUGACCUUGUACUUGCCAGGCAAGUGCUUGCACCGCUGAGCCAAAUCUCUGGUCCUAGGUUUGGUGCCAUAGGUAAGUUCCCAGGGGCGGGGAAGAUGAUGUCACGGUAAAUUUCUAGAGGUGAGGGAAAUAGGAGCUUCCUGGUUCUGGUUGAGGCUUUUCUGGCUACAGAGUCCUGUCUGGGCCACAACCCUUUCAAUUUAAUUUGACAUAAUCUCUUUAAAUGGUUGGCAGCGGUCAUUCCAUACAGUGAGGCACCUUGGGAGAGCGCCCCACCCCAUCUCUCUCCAGGGAUGUUCAGGGCUCUGCCAGCCACCUCAGCACGCUUUUGUGCAGUUAGGAGCCAUGCAGCCGUGUUCCCGUGGCACAGCUACUUACACAUCUUUUCUGAGCCUCACUAGCUUAUUCUCCGUGUGUUUUGUUUCUGUAGGCAGGGGCUGAACAAGCGUUGUUUCUUUUCACUUCAAUUAGAUUUUAUUGGUACAUUUGGGACAUACCCAAUGAUCAUCUUAGAGGAUUUGUACCUAUACAUGGUACUGUUUUCUUUCCCAUUCCCCUACCCUCCCUUCAAUGUUCCUCCCCUUAUCCAUUUACAAAAUUUCCUUUCCACGUUUUCUUUGUUUUGUGUUAAGUAAUCAGAUUUACAGUCUUUUCCCCUUUUGCUUCUUGAUUUUUGAGACAUAAUCAGGAAAGACCUGUUGAGUACAUAGAAAAAAAAUCACCCAACGCUUUUUUAAUAUAAUCGUUUGUUUCUGCCAUCAGUUGCUGAUCCUUUUAAUCCACACUGUGAAUAACGAGGGGAGGCUCCGUCACCUACAAUGCCAGCCACCUGCCACCGCGGCCCUGGCUCUGAGGUGACCCGCCGCACCCUGAACUUCGACACGUGGCCCUGCCCCACCCGGGCGAAGGGGCCAGCCAGGCCAGCAGCCACGUAGCGGCGUGCCAAGCCUGGUGCCCAGGUCCAGCGGUGAAGGCGCCUGAGCUUGGUGCCCUAGCACGGCUACUCGCUAGCCUUGCUCUGCGGCCGCGGGGCCCCGCCCCUGGCCGCGUUCAUUGGGCGCUCCACCCGCCGGCCACGUUCAUUGGAGGCUCCCGCCCCGCCCCCGCGCUGUGCCCAGCUUUCGCCCCGCCCCCUCUGUGAAGGCUGCGGCUUUGUGGUUGUCCUGGAGACCCUCUGUUACCUAUGUUUAUGGUUCAUAGCGCAGCACGAAGCGGAAGGUGUAGCUGUGCGGUCCUGCCCUCUGCUGCUACUGGGAAAGACUUUUUGCCAUUGCCGGGUCCGGCCCGGUCCGGCUGGGUCCGCAGGGAGCGGUCCUUCACGAUGGACACAGUAUCAGCCACUGUGGCCGUGGUCUUCGUGUCCCCGGGCAACCCCGAGCUGCUGAAGCCCCUGUCGAAGCUGUAUGUGGCCCUCGUAUCCCUGCUACUGGAGCUGGUUGCAGUGUUACCUGAGGAUCUCCAGCCCGGGCCUGACUUUUAUGGGCUCCCCUGGGAGCCUGUGUUGCUCACUACCUGUGCUGGAAUCCUUACGCUUGCGAUUUUCUUGUGGAGGUGUGUUCUUCCAGAGUUCUGAACUUGUUGAUCUGCAGGCCGGAUCAAGUGGCGCUCAGCGUGGGAGCUCCUGGCAUGGAGAAGUUAACGAGGGAGCCGUUCGAGAGACAGCCGGCUUAAACUGAAAGUAAAAGCGAAUUGAACCAGAGACCUCGGCCGAGGAGUGAGUAAACUGAAUCAAAGAUUAAAGCUUAAAGCAACAGGACAUUAAAUUAAGUACCGAGACCUGCACAGACGACUACCCGACGUCCUGCCCGAGUCACGGUGACACAUCUCCCUGGAGCCUUAUGCUGCUUAGCCAGCCUUCUUGAGCCACACCACACCCAUGGUGGAUUUUGACCCCUGCCAAACAGACUACAACUGCUGACAGCCAUGCACAGAACCCCAUGACUGUGGAAGAGGCUCUUCUCGGUCUGGAGGAACAUACACCAGCCAAAUAGACUGCAUCCAGUGUUAUGCAAGGCAUGCUCCAACACAGGAGAAUGACUUCAUACAGAGACACCAACAAAUGGCUGUCAACCCCUUCUCCUUGAUUUGGGGGGGGGGAGUUUUUCCCUUACCUAAUGCCCCUUUUGGGUCCCCUAGCUGACCUAUUGUUUCUCAUUUCUGUGAGUUCUUGUAUUUUUCAGAGGAUUAUGAUGUUCAUUAAUAACCGGAUAGACGCAUUUAUGGCAAAGCCCAUUCAGGUACACUAUCAUCAGCUGGAGAUGGCAGAUCAACAAACCUACAGGGAAGGAAUUCCCACGAGUGGCCCAUAUGACCAUGCGGCCUAACUGCCCUGGAGCAAUGGACAGGCAGUCAGAGACGGGCAACUAGGACAUGCAUGUUAAUUCCAACGGCCACCUAAGACAGGCACAGGACCAACUGCUGUUCUGCAAGCCCAUGACGGGUAAGGCCUGGUUGGGUUCAUGCAAUGAGGUCCUUGACCUAAGACAGAUGCUGUCCUCACAGGGCCUGCCAUACUCUUAAUUAAAUAAUAUAAAAAGGGAGGAGAUGUAGGGAGCCGAGUGACAGGCAUUGCUGCCUCGAUGUCUCUCUCUCCUAUGGGCACUGCGUCUGCCUACAUUAACCAUAAUCCCCUCCUGCUUACGUCACGUAUCCGGAUGUGAUGGUGAUCCUGUUGUAUUCAUCUGUUUAACCUCUUCCUGUCCCAGCUCCCGCCCUUAGCCUAUAAAAGGUGUGAUUAUUUUCUGAAUAAACCGGAAGCUUGAUCGGAUUAUUUCAUCUUGCUUUCGUCUCUUUUUGUCUCCCCCAUGUCUUUUAUUUAAUCCCCGUUUCCCCUCCAGGAGUUCUGAACUUGUUGAUCUGCAGGCCGGAUCAGAUUAUUAUCUUUCAAAGCUUGAAUUGUUUCCCCCCAUGCUCUUCGUGAUUUGAUGGUUUGUGCUGAGAAGUCUGCUGUAAUUCUGAUGGGUGUUCCCUUGUAAGUGAUCUGUUUCUUGUCUCCGACGGCUUUUAGUAUUCUGUUCUUGUAUUGGAUUUCUGGAAUUUUAAUUAUUAUAUGCCUGGGUGUUGCUCUGUUUGGGUUGUAGGUGGCUGGGGUCCUGUAUGCUUCAUACAACUGAGUAUCUUUACCUUUUGCUAAAUUAGGAAAAUUCUCCUGGAUUAUUUCUGUGAGUAGCUUUUGUAGUUCAUUUGUUUGUGUCCCUACUUCUUCUUUUAUGUUCUUAAUUCUUAAGUUAUAGACCCUCUUAUCAUCUUCUAGUCUUUGUAUUAUUGCUGUUUGUUUUCUUGUUAUUUUUAAGAAGUUUUUCAUUUCAUGCUCCCAUAUUACAAAUCUGCCCUCCAGUUCAGAUAAUCUGUCCUUAGUUUCUUUCAAGCUGUUAUACCAGUUUUCAAUAGAUUUUUUAGUUUCCUGGUAUUCUCUUUGAACCUGCUUCACGUAUUCUGUGCUUUCUCUAUUUUCUCCAUUAAACAAUUCUCCCCUCUUUUUCUGUUUUUCCGUUCCACCAUCUGUUUUUUCUUGGGUGGUGCUUAGCAUUUUUCUAACUAUUCUGCUUAUGUCUAGCUUCAGGUCAUUAAUAACUUCAUUCCUGAACUUGUCUAUGAGGCUCUCUAGAUGGCGCUUUAUGUCUAUUGGUGCGGUGUCCACUAUUGCCUGUUUCUCAGGAUUGGGGGCCGAGGACCCUUUCUUGUUGCUGCCUCUUCCCAUAUUCUUUGUUCCUUAUAUAUGCAAGUGUAUAUAGGAGGCCCAACUUCAUUCCCUGUCAGCCACAGUCUGAUUGAAUUGCGCUGGCUAUGUGUUCCCGCCCACCGCAGCACACCAGGGAGUUACAGACCAGACAGCCUAUGCGGUGCCCACCCCUCCAGGUCACCUUCAGGAGCUGGGACCUGGGCUGUGCUAGCCUACUGGGUCUCAGCCAGCAGUGUCACGUGGGCUAGGCACUGCUCACCAAUCCCGCUUGAGAGGCGGAUUGGUGACUGAAGUCACUGCAGCGCCCUGUUCCCGCAAGUCUGCCUGGUACCAGAAUGUCCUCUGUUGGAGUCUCCCAAACCGUGGGAAGAGUGUCAGUUUCUCUCACUCGCCUCACCGCAAGUCAAUGCACAGCUCCCUGCCCAUCCUGUUUUCAACUCUGUUCGCCGAUUCCCGUUCUCAGAGCUUCUGCGUGUCUCUCUCCCUGCCAAGCCGAUGCAGACGCAGCCACCGCGCAGCGGGAAACCCUAUCACGGCUUCCAAUGGCGCGGGCUCCAGCUUCCACACUGAGGUUUUAUCUGUUCCUGUUAUUGCACCAGGAUUGCAUUCCCAGUUGGUUUCUCUCAGCUCAGUUCGUUCUUGGAUCACCAGGGCAUAUCUCCUCUUGCUUAUGAUUCCUUACUUAGCACCAUUCCUGAAUUCUAAGCUGGGUGUUUCAGAGAGCCUCUGUAGCUGCUGCUAUCUGUCUGCCAUGUUCUCCCCAGCUCUAGAUAUUUCCUGGGGAAAGGAUGGUGAGAGGAUGAGAAAAUAAAGAGGAGACAAAGUUGGGGAAGGAGGAGCCCUUAUCCUCCUGAUGGGAGGAAAGGUGCUGUUCCACCACUGUAGCUCCUUUAUUCACCUCCAAAGAAGAAUGUCAGUUUCAACCCCACUGCCUAGCAACUUGUUUGAAUGGCUGGCCAGGGCCUCUUUCCUUCUUGGAGCUGGAACAGCUUGUUUAUGUGGCUCAUUCUGAGCUCUUUGUGUUUUCAGAGCUGGUCUUGCUUCAGUCCCACACAUGUGAUUAAUAUCCAGCAUCAAUGGCUCCCUAUAAUACACAAUUUCCUUUUAUAACAUAACAUAUGGGUCCCCUAACCCUUGGUAACAGAGCAGUACUGCAACCAAGUCAAGACAGACCAUAUAGAAGGAGGUGGGCAUGGAUCACAGGCAAGGCUCCUUCUGCAUAUACUGGUGUUCAUCACUCUCCUUAUUGCCUGAUUUCCACUGUGGUUCAGCUCAGAGGCAGCACUAGAUUCUUGUGGGGGAUGAGGUGUCACUUUGUAGGCCCAACCCCCUCUAACCUGCAAUUUACAAUAGCCGCCCUGGUAUGCGAGAAGGAGGUAGAAUAGGAAUGCCUGUUCUCAGUGAGACCCCUCACCCUCUGGAAUCCAUACUGUGAGCUGGCUUUGUUUUGCAGAAGUCUUGAGGAAGUGGCUGGCCACCCUUUGUGACACUAACAGCAGACAAAUUAACAACAUUCUUGAGCUAAUGAAUUUCUUCCUGGGCUAGAGAAGUUAUGAGAACUGGUUGUGAUUAUUUACUUCACUUAGAUAGUUUUAGAAUAAACAUUGUAGUCUGUCACGUUGUAGCUUGCCACAAAGAAUGCCUUUUCACUACUUAAUUAUCUGGGCUCUGUGAACUGAUCGGGUUUACUAUAUAUGAAUCCUAAAAUAAAGAUUGUGCGUGCAGUGCAGUGUAA